rnacentral:rRNA from 1 species
UACGUAGGGACCAAGCGUUGUUCGGAUUUACUGGGCGUAAAGGGCGCGUAGGCGGCGCGGUAAGUCACUUGUGAAAUCUCUGAGCUUAACUCAGAACGGCCAAGUGAUACUGCAGUGCUAGAGUGUGGAAGGGGCAAUCGGAAUUCUUGGUGUAGCGGUGAAAUGCGUAGAUAUCAAGAGGAACACCUGAGGUGAAGACGGGUUGCUGGGCCAACACUGACGCUGAGGUGCGAAAGCGUGGGGAGCAAACAGG